UGCGUAGGCGGUGCGGUAAGUCUGUUGUGAAAUCUCCGGGCUCAACUCGGAGUCUGCAACGGAAACUGCCGUGCUGGAGUAUGGGAGAGGUGAGUGGAAUUCCCGGUGUAGCGGUGAAAUGCGUAGAUAUCGGGAGGAAGACCUGUGGCGAAAGCGGCUCACUGGACCAUUACUGACGCUGAUGCACGAAAGCUAGGGGAGCAAACAGGAUUAGAUACCCUGGUAGUCCUAGCCCUAAACGAUGAUCGCUUGGUGUGACAGGUACCCAAUCCUGUUGUGCCGGAGCUAACGCGUUAAGCGAUCCGCCUGGGGAGUACGGUCGCAAGGCUGAA
rnacentral:rRNA from 1 species